GUUGGUUUCCGGAUGUGGAAUUUGUGGAUUUGUAGCGUAAGGUGGUGGAGUUGUUGAGCCAUUACUGGUUAUACUCCCUGGGCGACUCAAUGGCGGCCUACUUACAGUUCCAUUACUCACAGGAUUCAAAUAUCCCUCAGCAGACUAUUCACAUCCAGACCUUCUUCACUCAUGUUUCUAACUUGGAUAUUAUGCUGUAGAAGAUUGAAUAAUUGCUCAGCUUUCUUGCAUUUGAAUGCAAAUAUGCCUUCGCCAGUGGCACAGCGUCUUCCACACUCAAAACUGAAGAUUUCACUAUCAAAUCCAUACUUUCGCAGGUUUCUGAGUGACCAUGUUGUGGGUUUUUUUGUUCUUUGGUAGAAACACAACCCAACAUACAGCUCUUUAUACCUGGUAUUACAUAUAUUCAAUAUUGUUGCAAAAUUAUUAAAACAACUAUAAUCUUUAUUUAUAUUUAUCAAAAAUAACAUAAAACGUUUAUAAUCAUGAGUUAAUACAAAUUCUAGUGAAAUAUUUACUUGUUAUAAUAAAAUUAUAAUUUUGUUCCCAAUGAAUGAUUUAUACACCCAGUUUAAUUCCAAGGUCAAAUCUAGUAAAAAAGUUUUUAAAAACAAGAAUUUGCAGUUAUAAUGUAGGCAACCCAACAUACAGCUCUUUACACCAGGCACUACAUAUAUUCAAUAUUAUUGCAAUAUUAUUAAAACAACUAUAAUCUUUAUUUAUAUUUAUCAAAAAUAACAUAAAACGUUUAUAAUCAUGAGUUAGCACAAAUUCUAGUCAAAUAUUUACUUGUUAUAAUAAAAUUAUAAUUUUGUUCCCAA